rnacentral:rRNA from 1 species
AGCGAACGCUGGCGGCAGGCUUAACACAUGCAAGUCGAGCGGGCAUCUUCGGAUGUCAGCGGCAGACGGGUGAGUAACACGUGGGAACGUACCCUUCGGUUCGGAACAACUCUGGGAAACUGGAGCUAAUACCGGCUACGCCCUUAUGGGGAAAGGUUUACUGCCGAAGGAUCGGCCCGCGUCUGAUUAGCUAGCUGGUGGGGUAACGGCCUACCAAGGCGACGAUCAGUAGCUGGUCUGAGAGGAUGAUCAGCCACACUGGGACUGAGACACGGCCCAGACUCCUACGGGAGGCAGCAGUGGGGAAUAUUGGACAAUGGGCGCAAGCCUGAUCCAGCCAUGCCGCGUGAGUGAUGAAGGCCGUAGGGUUGUAAAGCUCUUUUGUCCGGGACGAUAAUGACGGUACCGGAAGAAUAAGCCCCGGCUAACUUCGUG